CCCAACAGCAAAAUCCUCCAACUCUCCACUUUCCACCAUCCCCUUCAACAGCAAAAUCCUUCAACCCUAUGCAAGACCUCUCCAACUCGCUACAAGAAUUUUCAUCAACAUAACUUCCACCAAAAUUAUCAGCUCAAAAUUGUUAACAUACUUCACUCAGCAAAAAAUUCUAAAGUGCGGAGCUGUUCUUUUACUAAGAAGCCUGGAGUAGAGCGAAACUGCAGAGACAAGAAAGCUGCGCUAAUUCACAACUCGGGAACAAAGCAGCGUGCGCAGACCUCAAUAUCCAAUUCAGGCUGGGAGAAAAUGGACCUGAGCAGAGACCGCUGCUCUUCCACGGCCAGCGGGUCACUGAUUCUCUUAGGAUAAAAUGGAGGAGAAGCAAUGUUCAAAUUGGAGGUUACUUGUUUUCUGGGAACUACAUCAGCGGGAACGUCAUUGUUGUUCUUAAAGGGUCUGAGGCUCAUGUACAGGGAAAAAUAGGGUUGCAAAUAUGGCUUGGAGAGUAAUGUGUAUAGAGCUUAAGCUUUACAGAGGCCAUGAUCGCGACGUCGUUUCGCAAUUCGUCAAGCGAGCGGGCAGCAGCCCAAUUCAUUCUAAAAGCUAAGUUCUACUGCCUCGUAUGAGUAUAACAAUGUUUGAUGCAUCUUAUGUAUAUGUGAGGGUUUGUGUUAAGCUAUUAUAGUUCGAUUCCUUUUUGUUUGUUUACAAAAUCCGUAUAAGUAUGGGUGCUUCGUGCUGGUAUUUGAUUCAUGUUGUUGUGUGGGGGGAGUCUUCAUGGCUUUCGGUUCUAAUUAUAGUGGAAUAUACUCAAGCAUGAAUCAUUCUAUCGUUGAAAGGUACCGAGAUGAUGAGGUUGUUGGGAUAUUUAAGUUUUGGUUAACUAAGUUCUUGACAUAGCUUUGUUAGCUCAUUUGCUGGACUGAUUCCUUAAAAUUCAUACAACAACUAGUUUAUCUCAAGUUUCCAUUCUUGUUCAUGGGCAAUUAUAGUUGGGAACCUUGUAAAUCAAAUAUGGUUUAUGUAACAACGGUUGCUGAGUUGCUUUGCUUUGUGAUAGGGGAAAAUUUGGCAAUGCAGUGACUAGAUUAUCGACGUUUGCAAGCACCUGCAAUGAAAUAGCCAGGACAUCAAAUUUGGGCAGCGAAAUUCGUUGAUCUCAGCGAAGGGUGAAUUUUAGUUCAGGGCCUAUUCUAGCAUUUCAGUCCUGGGUUCGCUGCCGCGCACAAAAGACUUGUGACAGCCCUGUAUUUUAUUCGAGAAAGUUCUUGAGCUUGGAGGGACGUGUAGCAGCCCAGUUUUUUGCGGAAUCCAGAAAAACAUUAUGAAUUGACUAAUGAAGUUCCAAUGCAAAAGACUGUGUAUGAGAUUAAGAUGGGCUCAUAUUAUUGAAGAUGCACUCUCAGAUUCAGAACUCCUUGACAUACGAGGAGGUUGCCUUUCAAAAUCUAAAUCACGUCUUCGGUAACUCACACCCACCACUGAGGUGAACUAGCUGGGAUGACAAAGUCUCAGUUCUUAUGAUCACCAAGCCAAACAAAUUACUCUAGCGUCUCAACUCUAUGGGAUUUAUUGAUCUUGAUAUAACGAAGUUUCCAGCGCUGUGCUGUUAUGCUUUGCUCUUCACCAGCGCUGUUGCGCAUUCUUUGUUCUUCACCAGGUCAAUGCCAUAUACCGGUACAUCUCAUUGCCUGCACUGAAUUUUCAGCGUUGAUAAACACCAAUACAAGACGAAGCUAAGUUAUCUCUGUUCACUGUGUUAAUUCUUGAUGAAUUAGUUACUUUCUUUGGCUGUGCUUGUUGAUUGUUGGUUAAGUUGGUUGGGACAGGGUGUAUACUCGGGUUUUAUGAAGUUUAAUUGGCUGAUAUGCAUUCUUUUCACUGUUUUGGCCGAGUCUUCCUACUAGAGAGAUCCACAAGAGGGUAGCGCUGCGCUGAAGAACGCCAUGGCUCAGCCUAAUUUGAUGAUAUUUAAUAUCUCGUCAGCUGCGUUGAUGCAUCGCAGGGAGGGCAGAGGAGAGGGCUCACCCUUCUCCUCUAAUUGUUGUUCAGCUGCGCAGCCAGCUCUGGCUUGCCCUUCUCCUCUGUUGUUCAGCUGUACAGCCAGCUUUGGCUCGCUCCUCUCCUCUGAGACCCUGAUCAUGUUCAAGCGAUCUGCGCAGUCGCCCUGAUUAAGUUUUCGGUGAAGACAUCAAGGCAGCGCAGGUACUUCAUGCGAGUGGAGUACUCCUUCCCGUCUUUAGGGUCGAUAUGGAAGCUGAUUGCGAGACAUACUUCUGCAUGGAACAUGAAGGCAUUGGGGAGUGAAUAGAGAAGAAACACCAUUCCUUUGAACAUCCGAUAUGAUUGGAAGACCUAUAGGUUAAUUAUAGCUCAAUAUCAACUGUUUUAUAAUUUACCUGACACGGUGUUUUUGCCUGUUGUGUCAUCAAUUGUUGGGUUGAUUGUUAAGGUUGCGCUGAUCAUGUACAUUGAACUCAAUUCAUGAUUUGGGUGCUGUUGUAUCACUCUUUAACUUCAUGAGUUGUUUUUACUUUUAUUGGGAAUAUCAUCUUUUGCAUGUGCAACAACAAUGGGGGAUUGAAUAAAACGGGUUCUGAACUUUAAU